UGCCAUUUGCAGGAAGAAUUCUCCUUAAGCAGUGAUGUGUAUAUCUGUUGUUAACGAAAUGGACAACCAAGUCCAAUCUUCAUGAUGGCAGCAUGUCAUACAGAGUAGAAUGAAACUAAAGGAAGGUACAACCAAAUCCAUUCACCCAUCACAGCACAGUUUGGAGGUCCUACCUACUCCCUUACUUCAGCUUUAUCUGUCUGGUUUAAUUUAUGUUUCCAGAAUCAGCUUAAAUGUAUUCUCCUUAGAAAGAUCUUCUUCUACUGCAUUGUCUCAGACCUGGUGUUUCCAUGGAGGACCCUACCAACACAGGUGAGCCUUCUUGGACAGAGGUCCACAAAAGAGCACAGGUAGCCAGCACAGCCACGAAAUAGAGAUGAAGACGGCUAAAAAUGCUGAUGGGUUUUAUGGCUCUAUGUAGCAUUCUCUUGAUAAAUAAUCAAGGGAAGCAUGUUUGGG
rnacentral:lncRNA from 1 species